UGGAAGGUGGCUUAGUUGGUAGAGUGCUUGCCUUGCAUGCAUGAGGCCCUGGGUUCAAUUCCUUAGCAUCACAU
rfam:Dipodomys ordii contig_27176, whole genome shotgun sequence.